AGAGUUUGAUCCUGGCUCAGAGCGAACGCUGGCGGCAGGCCUAACACAUGCAAGUCGAACGGAUCCUUCGGGAUUAGUGGCGGACGGGUGAGUAACACGUGGGAACGUGCCCUUUGGUUCGGAACAACUCAGGGAAACUUGAGCUAAUACCGGAUGUGCCCUUCGGGGGAAAGAUUUAUCGCCAUUGGAGCGGCCCGCGUAGGAUUAGCUAGUUGGUGGGGUAAAGGCCCACCAAGGCGACGAUCCUUAGCUGGUCUGAGAGGAUGAUCAGCCACAUUGGGACUGAGACACGGCCCAAACUCCUACGGGAGGCAGCAGUGGGGAAUCUUGCGCAAUGGGCGAAAGCCUGACGCAGCCAUGCCGCGUGAAUGAUGAAGGUCUUAGGAUUGUAAAAUUCUUUCACCGGGGACGAUAAUGACGGUACCCGGAGAAGAAGCCCCGGCUAACUUCGUGCCAGCAGCCGCGGUAAUACGAAGGGGGCUAGCGUUGCUCGGAAUUACUGGGCGUAAAGGGAGCGUAGGCGGAUAGUUUAGUCAGAGGUGAAAGCCCAGGGCUCAACCUUGGAAUUGCCUUUGAUACUGGCUAUCUUGAGUACGGAAGAGGUAUGUGGAACUCCGAGUGUAGAGGUGAAAUUCGUAGAUAUUCGGAAGAACACCAGUGGCGAAGGCGACAUACUGGUCCGUUACUGACGCUGAGGCUCGAAAGCGUGGGGAGCAAACAGGAUUAGAUACCCUGGUAGUCCACGCUGUAAACGAUGAGUGCUAGUUGUCGGCAGGCAUGCCUGUCGGUGACGCAGCUAACGCAUUAAGCACUCCGCCUGGGGAGUACGGUCGCAAGA
rnacentral:rRNA from 1 species